AUCUGCAUGCACAUUCCUCGCCGCCACAUUCCAGGGCUUAACCCUGCCGCUCCCGCGGCACGCUGCGCCUGCCGGGGCGCCGGCCCGAGUCAGGGGCGGAAGGGAGCCGCGGGCCAGGUGGGAGGGAAGACGGAGAAGGAAUGCGCUGCUCGCUGCUUCCCCUUGACCCCAAAUAUCUCCCUACAGCCGACCACUUGGGGUUUUAGAGCUUCGGGACGGGAAAGGCGGCUAAAGAGAAGUCUCCGCAGCCCUCUCCACCGCCUUCCGACUUCUAGGGAAACCACAAGACUUUCGAGAGGAAAGGGGUGGGGAGGCUCUCUUCGGAAGACAAGGUCCCAGCAAACCGAGAAGGCACAAAGGCUCUCCCGCUCCCCCUCGGACCCCGGGGCGUUCCGGGCGGUGGGAAAGUGUGAAAAGCAGAGCCAGCGCUCGAAAGCGCGUCAGUGGCGCGUCCGGGGCGGUGUCGCCCCCGGGGCCUCUGCAGGGCGCCCGGCCCUCCGUAGGGCGCCCGGCCCUCCGUGACCUCAGCCUCGCGGCGGAAAGCGAAGGCGGAUCCCGCGGUCCGAGGGCGCCGCGACAUGCCUGCCCCGGUGCCCCGCUGCGCGGGAGAAACUCGGGUCAGAUUCGGAAAAGCCACUGCACCCCCCCUCCCCCCACACCCCCCGCCGCGGCCGUCGUCGUCGUUGUCGUCGUCGUCCGCCGCGCGCGGGCCUGAGGCGCUCCACACGGGGGCCCUGCGCUGGACGUGCACGCGCCCGGGAGCCAGCCCCUUACGUCCGCCCGCGCCCCGGGAAGUCCCCCGCCCGCGCCCCGGGAAGUCCCCCACCCGGAGCCCCGCCGAGGCCCAGAAGGUGUGGGCGAGCCCGCUGGCAGGAAAACGCGGCGGCCUGGCGGCCAGGCUUUCCUAGACCCUGGAUGUGUCCGGGGAGGAACGUGGACUUUCUCUCCUUCUACAAGUAUUUAUUUAUUCAGCAGCUACUACGCCCUGGUCGGCCCUGAGGAGGGUCCGGACGUCGGGCUCCGGGCUGGACGGUUCCAUGAGCCGCAGGCCUGGCAGGGCUCGGACACACAGCAUUUGUGCCCCCAGCCCCUCGGUCUGGGAGGGAGCCUCCCAGUCCCCAGACUCCUCUCCAGCCAGGUCUACACCACCGUCCCAUUCAUAUUCUUCUGGGUUACUAAGCAGCUGCUUUUAGAGUAAAAACAAAAAACAAAAUAAAAAAAACGGAGGAAGACCCGGAGAUCAUUCACCUUUUGGUGUGAAUUCGCUUAAUCCUGCCGCCUAAUUUGUAAAGACUUCCCCACCUUGUGCGGGACGCAGCGCACAGCAAGGGCUUUCAGGGGGUUUGGAACAACGUCCGCCUCCCUUCCUGGGUGCACAGACCGGUCUUCCUCGUUUACACCCAGGAAACUAGGCUUCGCCUGUAACAAAGGGAAGCCCCCGCUUCCAGGUCCUGUGUUCAGCCCCACUCCAUUGAUAAGGAAGUGAUCACACAAGGCAAGCUUCUCCUGUUCAGGGAAAACCCAGGAAAUUCUGUGGCCUGUGCUCUCCCCAUGCUCCUGCUGCUGCCCUGACCAAGCCUAGUGCUUCCCCAUGUGGCCCCACGUGCUGUAGUGUGUUCCCUUCUUUUGGAAAAUUUUAUGUGGAGUGAUUAUGCCUUUCAAACAUCCAGUAUUCUUUUUUGUUUGUUUCUUUGUUUGUUUUUGUUUUUUUUGCUGUACGUGGGCCUCUCACUGCUGUGGCCUCUCC